UGGGGGAAUAUUGCACAAUGGGCGCAAGCCUGAUGCAGCCAUGCCGCGUGUGUGAAGAAGGCCUUCGGGUUGUAAAGCACUUUCAGCGAGGAGGAAGGUGGUGAACUUAAUACGUUCAUCAAUUGACGUUACUCGCAGAAGAAGCACCGGCUAACUCCGUGCCAGCAGCCGCGGUAAUACGGAGGGUGCAAGCGUUAAUCGGAAUUACUGGGCGUAAAGCGCACGCAGGCGGUUUGUUAAGUCAGAUGUGAAAUCCCCGGGCUCAACCUGGGAACUGCAUUUGAAACUGGCAAGCUAGAGUCUCGUAGAGGGGGGUAGAAUUCCAGGUGUAGCGGUGAAAUGCGUAGAGAUCUGGAGGAAUACCGGUGGCGAAGGCGGCCCCCUGGACGAAGACUGACGCUCAGGUGCGAAAGCGUGGGGAGCAAAACAGGAUUAGAUACCCCUGGUAGUCCACGCUGUAAAACGAUGUCGAUUUUGGAGGUUGUGCCCCUUGAGGCGUGGCUUCCGGAGCUAACG
rnacentral:rRNA from 1 species